rnacentral:rRNA from 1 species
UACGUAGGUGACGAGCGUUGUCCGGAUUUACUGGGCGUAAAGAGCGCGCAGGCGGUCGUUCAAGUCGAGUGUGAAAGCCCCCGGCUCAACUGGGGAGGGUCACUCGAUACUGAUCGACUCGAAGGCAGGAGAGGGUAGUGGAAUUCCCGGUGUAGUGGUGAAAUGCGUAGAUAUCGGGAGGAACACCAGUGGCGAAGGCGACUACCUGGCCUGUUCUUGACGCUGAGGCGCGAAAGCUAGGGGAGCAAACAGG